GUCUAUAGCCAUGCCACCCUGAAUGUGGCCGAUCUUGUCUGAUCUAGGAAGCUAAGCAGGUUUGGGCCUGGUUAGUACUUGGAUGGGAGACCACCUAGGAAUACCAGGUGCUGUAGGCG
rnacentral:rRNA from 1 species